rnacentral:rRNA from 1 species
UACGUAGGUGGCAAGCGUUGUCCGGAUUUACUGGGCGUAAAGGGCGUGCAGGCGGUCUGUUAAGUGCAGGGUGAAAGCUCCCGGCUCAACUGGGAGAGGUCUUUGCAUACUGGCGGACUUGAGGGGGGUAGAGGAAAGUGGAAUUCCCGGUGUAGUGGUGAUAUGCGUAGAUAUCGGGAGGAACACCUGUGGCGAAGGCGGCUUUCUGGGCCCUACCUGACGCUGAGACGCGAAAGCGUGGGGAGCGAACCGG